rnacentral:rRNA from 1 species
AUCCAGACUCCUACGGGAGGCAGCAGUGGGGAAUAUUGCACAAUGGGGGAAACCCUGAUGCAGCGACGCCGCGUGAGCGAUGAAGUAUUUCGGUAUGUAAAGCUCUAUCAGCAGGGAAGAAAAUGACGGUACCUGACUAAGAAGCCCCGGCUAACUACGUGCCAGCAGCCGCGGUAAUACGUAGGGGGCAAGCGUUAUCCGGAUUUACUGGGUGUAAAGGGAGCGUAGACGGCUGUGCAAGCCAGAUGUGAAAGCCCGGGGCUCAACCCCGGGACUGCAUUUGGAACUGUGUAGCUGGAGUGUCGGAGAGGCAGGCGGAAUUCCUAGUGUAGCGGUGAAAUGCGUAGAUAUUAGGAGGAACACCAGUGGCGAAGGCGGCCUGCUGGACGAUGACUGACGUUGAGGCUCGAAAGCGUGGGGAGCAAACAGGAUUAGAUACCCCCGUAGG